GAAACUUCAAGCAGAAAGAGGACGAAGUUCACAGCGCCGUUACUGGGGUUCUGCGACGUUCCCACGGCCGUCUCCCAGGCCCCAGGCCUCCGGCCUUCUGUCUGUCAAGGAUGAAGGCGACCUUGCUCAGACUGCAGGAGAUGGAGGAACGUGACCCAGCGGAGGGGCCUUCGGCUGCGGGUGCGACAGGCGGCCGGAGGGGUGAAGGCAGGGAGAGCGCGGUCAGUGCUGCGGGCUAGCGGCCUCCCCGCCGGCCGGGGAAUGCGUCCCCAGCUCCAGCCGCAUCUCGCCGCCUCUAUGGCAUCUCUGGGGCUUCAGAGGGAAGCUGCCCGACCCGGAGGCUUGAAAUCCGCCCUUUGUUCCCUCCCGGGACGUCAGAGCCACAACUCACUAAGGGCGGCCGCCUCGGCAGCCGGAAGCGCGGGCCAGCGGCAACUUCGGGUCUGCGCAGGCGCAGGCCGGGGAAGCCGGGAGCGGCCGGGUUUCUGUGGCCCGCGGCUGCCCUCUCGUGGCCGCAAGGCGGCAUGGCACGGCCGCUUCCACGCAGCGGCGUUGGGCGGGAGGCGGCAGGGCAGGCCAGCCGGGGAGGCCAGCCAAACGCUGUGUUUUUCCAGGUCCGCGCGGGCCAGGGGAACCCUGCGUGUUUGCUUGAUGGGAGUGGUUUACUGGGAAACUAGACGGAAGGUAUCCUGCAAAUCGGCAUGCACUGUAUUGUUUAGGAGCCAACAGCCUGGAAAGUAAAUACCAGCUUUUUGUGCCCCACCCUGUUCUUGUCUCAAGAAGUCGACUUGGAAUGUUUCCUCUUGUCCGCGGUUUGAAGAUGAGUCACCAAAAACAUCACCCUGCCCUUGCGGAAGUGCGUGUUGGCUGCUCGGCCAUUUCACCUGUAUGCCCCAGGAUGGUUUGCUAAGGAGAUGGUUUCUUCAGGGCUCCACUCUUUUUCAUGCCCUUCUCAGCUCCAGACUACAUCCCAUCGAUGGACAUUAUCCUGUACCCCCCGGGGGAGGAGAGUGGGGGAGAGUUUCUGUGCCUGGAUUAUUGGUGGAGGAGAGCAAGUGCAGCAAUGAAGCUAUGACUUUUGCAGAAGUCAUGCAUUCCGUUCAAGGAUAGUCCUUUCUGUAGCCUCCACACAUUCCCUCUCACUGCAGGCCCCUGGGGUUUUACUGUGUGACCGGGUCAUAUUGCAUCUGCAUAGAUUAUCAACGCACCUCAUGACUGUGGAGGAAGAAGUCUGGGACAGAACAUGGGUCUGGAAGGCUCGCAGCAUGGACUUGGUCAGGUGACACAAUGUCCCAUGUUCUUCAAGAAGUGUCUAGACUAGGUGACUGAUUCUAUUGGAGAUCUAGCACAGUGCUCUUGCCACAGAGAGGGGCAAAUUGAGAUCCAGAGAGAAGUGACCGGCCCAGGUCACUCAGCCAGCUGGUGACUGAGCUGGAAAUCAUUCCCAGGUCUCCUGACACCCAGUUCAUUCAUUUUUUGCACAUACUUCCAAGGAUUUACUGUAUGCUAGGCACUGUUCUGGGUGCUGGGAAUCUACGAAGUGCCUGUAUAGAGUUUGUGUCUUGUAGUGUGUAUGUGGGGAGGUUGUGGAUAAACAAAUAAACAGAUUUAUCCA